rnacentral:rRNA from 1 species
GGGUUGUGAGGUUAAGCGACUAAGCGUACACGGUGGAUGCCCUGGCAGUCAGAGGCGAUGAAGGGCGUGCUAAUCUGCGAUAAGCGCCGGUAAGGUGAUAUGAACCGUUAUAACCGGCGAUACCCGAAUGGGGAAACCCAGUGUGAUUCGUCACACUAUCAUUAACUGAAUCCAUAGGUUAAUGAGGCGAACCGGGGGAACUGAAACAUCUAAGUACCCCGAGGAAAAGAAAUCAACCGAGAUUCCCCCAGUAGCGGCGAGCGAACGGGGAGGAGCCCAGAGCCUGAAUCAGCAUGUGUGUUAGUGGAAGCGUCUGGAAAGGCGCGCGAUACAGGGUGACAGCCCCGUACACAAAAGCGCAUGUGCUGUGAGCUCGAUGAGUAGGGCGGGACACGUGGUAUCCUGUCUGAAUAUGGGGGGACCAUCCUCCAAGGCUAAAUACUCCUGACUGACCGAUAGUGAACCAGUACCGUGAGGGAAAGGCGAAAAGAACCCCGGCGAGGGGAGUGAAAAAGAACCUGAAACCGUGUACGUACAAGCAGUGGGAGCACAGGUUUACCUGUGUGACUGCGUACCUUUUGUAUAAUGGGUCAGCGACUUAUAUUCUGUAGCAAGGUUAACCGAAUAGGGGAGCCGGAGGGAAACCGAGUCUUAAUUGGGCGUUAAGUUGCAGGGUAUAGACCCGAAACCCGGUGAUCUAGCCAUGGGCAGGUUGAAGGUUGGGUAACACUAACUGGAGGACCGAACCGACUAAUGUUGAAAAAUUAGCGGAUGACCUGUGGCUGGGGGUGAAAGGCCAAUCAAACCGGGAGAUAGCUGGUUCUCCCCGAAAGCUAUUUAGGUAGCGCCUCGUGAAUUCAUCUCCGGGGGUAGAGCACUGUUUCGGCUAGGGGGCCAUCCCGGCUU